AGCGAACGCUGGCGGCAGGCCUAACACAUGCAAGUCGAGCGCCCCGCAAAGGGAGCGGCAGACGGGAGAGUAACGCGUGGGAACGUGCCCUUUGGUUCGGAACAACCCAGGGAAACUUGGGCUAAUACCGGAUAAGCCCUCACGGGGAAAGAUUUAUCGCCGAAGGAUCGGCCCGCGUCUGAUUAGCUAGUUGGUGGGGUAAUGGCCCACCAAGGCGACGAUCAGUAGCUGGUCUGAGAGGAUGAUCAGCCUCACUGGGACUGAGACACGGCCCAGACUCCUACGGGAGGCAGCAGUGGGGAAUAUUGGACAAUGGGCGCAAGCCUGAUCCAGCCAUGCCGCGUGGGUGAUGAAGGCCCUAGGGUUGUAAAGCCCUUUCGGCGGGGAAGAUAAUGACGGUACCGGCAGAAGAAGCCCCGGCUAACUUCGUGCCAGCCGCCGCGGUAA
rnacentral:rRNA from 1 species